rnacentral:rRNA from 1 species
AACGAACGCUGGCGGCAUGCCUAACACAUGCAAGUCGAACGAGACCUUCGGGUCUAGUGGCGCACGGGUGCGUAACGCGUGGGAACCUGCCUUUAGGUUCGGAAUAACUCAGAGAAAUUUGAGCUAAUACCGGAUGAUGUCUUCGGCCCAAAGAUUUAUCGCCUUUAGAUGGGCCCGCGUUGGAUUAGCUAGUUGGUGGGGUAAAGGCCUACCAAGGCGACGAUCCAUAGCUGGUCUGAGAGGAUGAUCAGCCACACUGGGACUGAGACACGGCCCAGACUCCUACGGGAGGCAGCAGUGGGGAAUAUUGGACAAUGGGCGAAAGCCUGAUCCAGCAAUGCCGCGUGAGUGAUGAAGGCCUUAGGGUUGUAAAGCUCUUUUAACCGAGAUGAUAAUGACAGUAUCGGGAGAAUAAGCUCCGGCUAACUCCG